UUCUUGCUUCGGAAGCUCUGGUCUCCAGGCUGUGCUGCUGGAGAUGCCUCCUUGUCCCAUCUCCCAUGCACGAGGCCAGGGGAGUUUCCUGAAUCCUGUCUCCCUUGUCCCAGGGGUUUCGGUGGGUCGUCCACGGCCUUUCCAUUGCUUUUGAGUCCUUCACCUCCAUGCCCCUGCUCUGUUUGUGCGUGAAUAGUACCAGGUCUUUGGCCUUUUGUUCCCUGGCUGCCUGCACUGGACGCUGCCCAGGCCUAUUCCAGGAAGCCGCCUGCCUGGGAGAAGGAGACGUGUGAGCCCCCCCUCCCCCCAAUGCCACCACUCAGCCCUGGGGAAUUUGACUCCCCCCCAGUGUCGGCAGCUGAUGUUGCAGGGUGGAAGGUGGAGAAGGCUGGAGCUGUGAGGUGAUGUUGUGGGGUGUUGGUGACUGGUAUGCGGUGAUGGUGUUGAUGUUGGCCGCAGGUGGUGGGUGUGGGGGACACUACUGUGUUUUGGUAGUUUGUGUCGGGUGACCGUGUUGGUGUUUGGUUCUGGGAGUGAGUGAUGGUGUUGAGUUUUGGGGGCAGGGUGACAGUGCUGGGGACAGGUAUUGGGGUGUGGUGACCAUGUUGGGGUCAGGUGAUCAUGAUAGGGCAGGUGCUGGGUGACAAUGUUUGGGAUGGGGUGAUGGUGUUGCAGGUGGGUGGGGGGUGAUGGUGUUGGGAGUGGGGUGAUGAUUUUGGGUGGGGUGACAGUGAUGGGGGCUGGUAUUGGGUGACAGCAUUGGGGUCAAGCGAUUGUGUUGGGAGUGGCUGUUGGGUGAUGGUGUUGGAGCGGGUGUUUGUUGCAGAGUGACAGUGUUGAGAGCGGGUGUUGGGAGACAAUGUUAAGGGUGGGAUAAGGGUGUUUAGGGCAGGUAUUGUAUGAUGGUGUUGGGGCAGGGUCACAGAGCUGGGGCAGGUGUUGGGUGAUAGUGUUGGAGGUCGGGUGACAGUCUUCGGAGUGGGGUGACAGCUUUGGGGGUGGCUGUUGGGUGACAGUGGUGGGGUGCAGUGACAGUGAUGGG